rnacentral:rRNA from 1 species
GACGUAGGGCGCGAGCGUUGUCCGGAUUUAUUGGGCGUAAAGAGCUCGUAGGCGGCUUGUCGCGUCGACUGUGAAAUCCCGCGGCUCAACCGCGGGUCUGCAGUCGAUACGGGCAGGCUAGAGUUCGGUAGGGGAGACUGGAAUUCCUGGUGUAGCGGUGAAAUGCGCAGAUAUCAGGAGGAACACCAGUGGCGAAGGCGGUGCUCUGGGCCGGAACUGACGCUGAGGAGCGAAAGCGUGGGGAGCAAACAGG